rnacentral:lncRNA from 1 species
UCAGGUUAUUUGGUAACUAUGUUCAGGUUCUAUGACAAUUUAUUCUAUUCCUGUCAUAAGUUAUGUCUAAAACUUUUAUAGACUUUUAGUUCCUUUUACUAAGAUUGUCUUCUCUGUGGUCUGCCCAUUAGUUUUGAUGAGCAAAUUUAUAAUUUAACAUUUAGAUUAGAGUCUUCAUUCUGGAACAAUUAUAUUGGUUAGAGAAUCACAAAUCUCUAUUUGAGUUUUGGUAGACUUAAAAUCAUUAAAAUAAUCAAACUUUAGGCAGUUAGUAUAUAUCUCCAAGUCACUUGAGCAGAAUACCAUGAAAUUGCAUUUCUGCUGCUUUGAAAUACAACAGUCCCUUAGAACUGAUGUAAACAAUAUAAAAAGCAAAAUGUCUAAUUGACUCAUUUCUGACAUUAGCUUACUCAGUGUUCAGAGCUAUUGCUUAUUCUGAUGAAAGAGAAACUUUGAGUUAUAAUGAAGCAUUAUAUUAUCACAAUCACAAAUACAAUUCCCAGGGUUGAGCCAUUUACAGCCAAAGCAAUUAAUUUUUGUAUUAUGAUUACGAUAUGAGUGUGAUUGAUACCUGAAUACAAUGUUCAAAUUAUUUUUAGUUGAUAUAUAAUCUAAGAUUCUCAGAAUUGACCUGGGCCCUGUAGAUUAUGCAAUUCCUUCUUUUGUUCAAAUGAAACAAAAAAAAUUGUCUGUAAUCUUUUUUUAGACUUUUAAAGACAGAGACUCUUAGAUUUCUAUCAAUAUACACUCUUUAUUUCCUGACACCAAUUUCAUUUGGAGGUCCAUAUCCCUCAUUUAAAAAAAUUUGUGUCCUCGCACUAACUUGUUGAGAGUGGUAUCACAAUUAUCACAGGUAAUAUGUGAACAGAUAUCUACUAGUGUUUCCUAGAUUGUUUUUCCACAAGAAGAAUAGACUAAACUAUUUCAGAUUUUGCUUUUACCUUUUUCUUGCCUAAGAAUGCACAUGAUAUCAGGCAUUGGAGUAGCUAUCCUGCAACCAGAAGGAUGAAACAUACAUGCUAAAGAUGCUGUACUAUAAAAGUAUUUAAUGACCUUAUGAGCAGUUACAGCCUGAUUAUCACAUCACUCGAAUUACUUUAAUCUAUAACACUGUAUGGGAGCUAUUCCUAAUUUAAAUUUGAAUUCCUACUUUUAGUUUAAAAUGUUUUUAAAAAGAUGAUAAAUGAAACCUCAAUCAUCAGUGUAUACGUAGACCAUUAUCCUGUUGGUAGUAAAACACUUGAUUUUAAAAAGAUGCCAAAUAUCUUUAAAUAAGUAUUAAAAUUUUCAUUUAGGAGAGUUAGAUAUACUCACUUAAUGAACAGAAGAGGAAUAUCAUUUGAGCAACAAAGUAAAUAAUAUGAAAUAAAUAUUUUUGCAAGAUGCUACUUAACUUCUAUGCAUUUGCGAACAACCACAAUUUUAGCCAAACAGGAAAUGAAGCAAAAAUUAGCCACAUAUGAUACUUCAAUGCCAAAAGUUUAAAAGAAGAUAAUUUUCAUUAACAGCAGAAUAUAAUAAUGAUGGUAUAAGUUCUCAUUAAUAACUAAAGAAAUUCAGAAAUAGAUUCUAAAUAUGUAGAAAUCUUAGAUUCAAAUUUUUACUUGAAUAGAGAAUAAAAGGAGCAUAUAAUUGUAUGAAUGAAUGAAUAUAUGUCAUUUUCAGUUAGUUUUUUUAUACAUGUAUUUAUCAGUGUUUCUUCUUUGAUCCUAAUCUGAAUUAAAUCAAUAUUGAAUCUUAGAUGAGAUGGAAUUUAUUAUUAAACUGGAUAUAAUGCACUUGAGAAAAAUAAUAUGUCUAUUCAAGGCCUGCUGUGGACCUUGGUGCGUGAAACAUAAAAAAAAAGUUUUUUAUGAAUAUUAAAUGUCAGAAAUAUAUAUCAAUUUUACUGGGAAAAAAGCAUCCAUUCCCAAAAAAUAAUUAAUUAUUAAUUCACCUCAACCUUAUUUUUAUAUCCAUUAUUUUUAUGUAUAUGGAAUUACCAUUAAAGUAUUUGGUAUAUUUAUCCCUUCCCACAUUUUGUGCUUCCUUUGUCAAGCAUUUUCAUUCUUAAUAUCUUCAUAUUACUCUUUUUACAUAGCCAAUUUUAUUUAAAUUUAUCAUGCUUUCAUCUUUUCCAGUUUUCUUUAUCCCUUCAUUCAUCAUUAAAAUUCAGUAGCAAUGCUUUCUUUUUCUUUUGCUUAAAGAAUUUCCUUUAAUAUUUCUGACAGUGCAGGUUUGCUACCUAUAUAUUCAUUUUUUGGGGGGAGAAAGAAAUGUUUUAAGUAAAAUUCAACUUCAUUUAAAAAUAUGUUUUAGGUGGAUAUUAAAUUACAGCCUAAUGUUAUUUAUUCUAAGGGAUUUAAAAUAUAUAUAGCCUAUUCUCUGGUUUUUAUUAUUUUAGUUUAAAAAUUGGAUACUAUUAUUAUUGCUUCUAUUUUUCUCUGAUUGCUUUUUUUAAUAUAAUGAUUUUUAUUUUUUUCCAUUAGAGCUGGUUUACAGUGUUCUGUCAAUUUUCUGCUAUACAGCAUGGUGACCCAGUUACACAUACAUGUAUACAUUCUUUUUUCUUACAUUAUCAUGCUCCAUCAUAAGCGACCAGACAUAGUUCCCAGUGCUACACAGCAGGAUCUCAUUGCUAAUCCAUUCCAAAGGCAAUAGUCUGCAUCUAUUAAUCCCAAGCACCCCAUCCAUCCCACUUCCUCCCCCUCCCCCUCCCCCUUGGCAACCACAAGUCUAUUCUCCAAGUGCAUGAUUUUCUUUUCCAUGGAAAGGUUCUGAUUGCUUUUAACAUUUUUUUUUUUAACUGCAUUUCAGUGAUUUUGUAGUUUGCCUAAGGUUGACUCUUCCAUAUUUAUCAUUCCUGUCUCUAAAGAUUUCUGUCUUUUUAAAUGAAUUUUAGAAGAUUCACAACAGUGUCUCUUAAUACAAAACUUACUGUCUCCUUUUCUCUCUACUCCAUCUAGGAUUCUAGUUUGCAAGUCUACAAUUCAUCUUCACUUUGUUUUACAUAACAUUCUUUUUUAUAUUUGUAUUGCAUACAUAACAUUCUUUUUUUAUAUUUUUAUUCAUGUUCAUUUCAUUAUAAGUCAAUAUUUUCUACUGACUUAUCCUCCAUUCCACAAAUACUUUAUUCAGCUAUAUCUAGCAGUAAUUCUUUAUGAGUCUCCUUUGAAAACUUGGAAUAUUUUUCCUGAGUUCUUCCUCUCAGGAGGUAGACAGGCAUAUUUUUUUUUUAAUGUCCUUUUUGAGAGAGAUUGCUCCUGCUUGCCUAGUCUAUCAAUCUCUGCAGAAUAAACGUUAAAUAAAUGCUAUACAAAGAGUCAUAUAAUAUUAUGUUGGACCUCUCUGUUGCUGCCUUUGCUCUGAGAUUUUGGUCUUUUAAUUCCAAGCUAUUGUGAUAGCUCUUAAUUCUAGUUUUUGUCUUUACUGUUCUGUGCUACUUCAGAAAGCCCUGGGACCCAAGUUUUAUUUGGCCUGUGGUCCCUGUGUUGCUGACAAAUUUGCAAAUGUAUUAAGAGAAGUGGCAGACAAAUAAUAUUGGAAUCUUUUCAUUGUGUUUUUGUUCUCUUGGGAAUUUUAGACCUUGAAAUCCUGACUUUCUGAGUUGAUUUCCAAUAUCUUCAAACAGCAGUUUUCAUUUUUAUUUCAGAUUUUAUAUUUACUCUUGUUGAGAGAUUAUGUAGGAAAUAAGCCGUUCCACUAUAACCAGAAAAUGAAAUCCCUUAAAGUUAGCUUUCAAUCUAAUUUUAAAAAGUGGGUAGAGAUAAUCAACAGUAACACUCAAUUUAAGAAAAACAUUUGUAACAUGUUCAUAUAUGUAACUAAAUUCAAUGGGCUUCUAAAAAAUAAAAGCACAAUCUUUUGUGACACAUGCAGGUUUUGUAAUUAAUAAGGCUCCUGUUCUGCUGUGUAGGUAAAAUCAUUAUAGUGUGUAAUGAGGAAAAGAUACACAUCACCUAAAUAAAUCAAUAGCUUUUAAAAUUUCUAAAUCUAUUUAAUAGUUCAGUAGUUUCUGUGACCUAAGUUUAUUAUUAAGCUAAUUACCAUCCUGAUGUGAUCAAGUAAAAUAUUUUUAAAUGACUUCAAACACUAAUAUGUGCAUUUUAUCUUCUCACAAUUAUGUUAUGAACUUUUGCUUUAUUGUGAUAUUUGGCUAGGUCAUUCUAUUUCAGGAUCAUCUUCCAUCAGGCAACACUUGAGCUCACUUCAACUAAAAUCAGAAUUAUGGUGGUGUGAAUUGCCCAUUCUCGAUAAAUAUAAGCAAGUUUCUGUUUGUGUACUUCAGCCCCCGGUUCACAUUUUGCUCAUGGCCCUCAAAUUGAUGGACAGUUCAGUUUUUAUAUUUCUUUAUUCUGCAGAGAGACACACUGUAUGAAAAUGGAUAAGUUUCAAAUAUCAAGCCGUAUUUUAUUAUUUUUAUCCUGGCUAAAAUUCUCGUUCAAAUUCUGGGAUAAAUGCCAGUUUGGGGCUACAUUAUGAGGGUCAUUUCUUCUUAAUACUGCAUGAUUCAAAACAAUAAUGAUUUCUAGAUUUUUCUCUCAAAUGCAGAUUUAGUGCUGAAAAAAUAUAUACAUAUGUAUAUAUAUAAUUAAUGAAAAUAAAAAUGACAUUCUUUAAUUUCUGUUACUUGAGAUAUGUGACUCAUAAAACAGUUUUCUACAAAAAUCAUACUUACUUGUUGAGCUUUUAUUUACUAUGUAAGUUUAUCAGCAGGGACAUUUUAAACUCAUUUAAACAAACUAAAAAUAAAUAUUUUAAAACAUAUAUUGAAUUCAUAUGGUUUAAAAUUUAAAAUAUGUUAAAAUGUUUGUAAUUAUAAAGAAAGAAAAGAAAAGAAAGAGGGAGUUCCGUCAUAGCUCAACAGUUAACAAACCCGACUAGUACCCAUGACGAUGGGGAUUUGACCCUGGCCCCACUCAGUGGGUUAGGGAUCCCUUGUUGCUGUGAGCUGUGGUGUAGAUCUUAGACACGGCUUGGAUCCCACGUUGCUGUGGCUUUGGUGUAGGCUAGCAGCUGUAACUCCGAUUCAAACCCUAGCCUGGGAACCUCUAUAUGCCACGGGUGCAGCCCUUAAAAAUAAAUAAAUAAAUAAAUAAAUAAAUAAUAAGGAAAAGAAUUCAAGGAGUUCUAUUGUGGCUCAGCACGUUAAGAACCUGAACAGUAUUCAUGAGGAUGUAUGGAUGUAUGUUUGAUCCCUGGCCUUGAUCACUGGAUUAAAGAUCCAGCAUUGUCUCAAGAUGCAGCAUAGGC